ensembl:lncRNA
CCCCUCAGAGAGCAGCCCUGUCCUGGCCCCUCCACCUCCAUCCAGCCUGCCCGCUCCAGUGCAGUUUGUCUUACAACCAUGGAGUCCCUACCGGGGGUGCUCCCUUCGGUCGGUCCCAAGAGCAAUGAAGUCUCAUUUCUGCCCCUUGCUGUGUAAGUUACCCAGGUGCUGGAGGCAGUGCAUAAGGUUCUCUGUGCAUGAUACAGUGACACACGACUGGCUCACAUGGGUCAGACACAACUCACCUGAGGGUCCCAGCACAGAGCCAGAGAUGCUCAACAGGCACGAUUCUGCAGUCCCUUUCCUCCUCAAUUAGCUGCAGGUGAGCUUUUAAACUUUUUAGGGUUUAACACCUCUUAUUUUAGUGUAUCUCAGGUACUUUUCUGCUUUCGAACGCUGGAUGCCACCACAUAUUUUUGCUCUAAACAUGAAGACUUCUCAAUUAUUCCUCAUUCCUCGAACACUCCAGGUACUUUCACUAAAUCUUUUAAACAUCACAUGACCUAUUCCAGGAAUUUCCCGACACUCUCCAACUACUGGUCCUUCCAAUUUUUCCAAUCUCCCUUCACCCCCAUUCCCUCAGCUCAGUUUACUUCAUGUGCAAAUCGGGGGGGCAGUGAGGGUGCUGAAUGGGUAGAAAUGUGCCCCCCAAAAGAUAUGUCUAAGUCCUCAUCUCUAAUUCCUGGGAAUGUGACCUUAUUUGAAAAUAGGGUCUUUGCAGACGUAAACAAGUUAAGACCAGGUCAUACUGAAUUAGCGUGAGCCUGAAAUCCAGUGAUGGGUGUCUUUGUAAGCAGGCCAUGUGAAGAUGGACAUGCAGGAUGAAGGCCAUGUGGCUACAGAGACAGAGAUUGGAAUGAUGUGUUUACGAGGCCAGGACCACUGCAAUUGCUGGCCAUCAGCGGAAGCCAAGAGAAGGCAGGAAGGAUUUUCCCCAGGAGUCUUCAGAGAGCCUGGUCCUGCUGAUGCCUUGAUUUCAGACUCUGGCUCCCAGAACUGUGAGAGAAUAAACUCCUGUUGUUUCAGGUCACCCAGUUUGUGGCAAUUUGUUACAGCAGCCCCUGGACUAACACAGGCCUGGAAACACCCAUGAACACCCACCACGAACUUGGCCUGAAUGUUAGGAAACACAUUGCAACGUUACUUCUCUGCUUGUUUUAUAAUGAUUAUUUCCAGUCUCUUGUUCAGUCUCUUGUAGAUAAAUUUGAGACCCUUCAAUGAGAACUGGGACUUGUCAGCUCCAGCUUUUUCCUGCCCUUUCUCUGCCACACCUGACUGGUCAAAUUGACAAGGUCCCCCCAUCUCCUCCUUUGCAUUCUGCUGGUCUAUGGUGCGUCGUCUCCUUGGAGUACUGAGAUAAUUACCAACAGAUGCUGUCCUAGUCUUUCUCCUCUUUGAGUUAAUUCAAUUUAGCAUUUACUGGGUGUCCACUCAGAGCAGCCUGGCUCAAGGGUGAGCAGGCGGUGCUUAUUCUGGAAGACCUGAAACCUCAUAGACCCAACCAAAGAUGAAUUAAGUGAACAAAGGACUGUUAUGCAAAGAGGAAAGCAACACCCUUUCUGGGAGAGGAGCAAAAUGUGUCCCAGGCGAGGCCCUGAGGCCCCACUGGAGGACAGGUACCGGAAAUCUGAGUCAACCAGAAUCUCAGCCCUCUGUGUCUAGGGCUGAAGGCUGUUGACGGAAAUUUUUUGAAGUAAAUAGUUUUCCCAGGGAAUCUCCUUAAAAAAGGAAGCUAGCAUGGCUGUGCCUG